UUUGUUUUUCCAAAGGAGGACAAUGAGCUACGUCUUGUACCUGGUGAUGAGUUGCGACUGCGUUAUUCUGGAGAUGCUGCUCAUCCAGCUUGGCAGUCAGUUGGGCAUGUGAUCAAGUUAACUGCACAGGAGGAAGUAGCACUUGAGCUUCGUGCUAGUCAGGGGGUUCCUGUUGAUGUGAACCAUGGCUUUAGUGUUGAUUUUGUGUGGAAGAGCACAAGUUUUGAUCGGAUGCAAGGGGCAAUGAAAAC
rnacentral:misc_RNA from 1 species